rnacentral:rRNA from 1 species
CAAGUCGAACGGCAGCACGGGAGCUAUCCUGGUGGCGAGUGGCGAACGGGUGAGUAAUACAUCGGAACGUGCCCAAUCGUGGGGGAUAACGCAGCGAAAGCUGUGCUAAUACCGCAUGAGAUCUACGGAUGAAAGCAGGGGACCGCAAGGCCUUGCGCGAAUGGAGCGGCCGAUGGCAGAUUAGGUAGUUGGUGAGGUAAAGGCUCACCAAGCCUGCGAUCUGUAGCUGGUCUGAGAGGACGACCAGCCACACUGGGACUGAGACACGGCCCAGACUCCUACGGGAGGCAGCAGUGGGGAAUUUUGGACAAUGGGCGCAAGCCUGAUCCAGCCAUGCCGCGUGCAGGAUGAAGGCCUUCGGGUUGUAAACUGCUUUUGUACGGAACGAAAAGGCUUUCUCUAAUAAAGAGGGCUCAUGACGGUACCGUAAGAAUAAGCACCGGCUAACUACGUGCCAGCAGCCGCGGUAAUACGUAGGGUGCAAGCGUUAAUCGGAAUUACUGGGCGUAAAGCGUGCGCAGGCGGUGAUGUAAGACAGUUGUGAAAUCCCCGGGCUCAACCUGGGAACUGCAUCUGUGACUGCAUCGCUGGAGUGCGGCAGAGGGGGAUGGAAUUCCGCGUGUAGCAGUGAAAUGCGUAGAUAUGCGGAGGAACACCGAUGGCGAAGGCAAUCCCCUGGGCCUGCACUGACGCUCAUGCACGAAAGCGUGGGGAGCAAACAGGAUUAGAUACCCUGGUAGUCCACGCCCUAAACGAUGUCAACUGGUUGUUGGGUCUUCACUGACUCAGUAACGAAGCUAACGCGUGAAGUUGACCGCCU